AGUUGGUGGAGUGAUUUGUCUGGUUAAUUCCGAUAACGAACGAGACUCUGUCCUGCUAAAUAGUGUCCGCCUCUCUUUUGGGCGGACAAUUCUUCUUAGAGGGACUGGCGACUCUUAGUCGCACGAGAUUGAGCAAUAACAGG
rnacentral:rRNA from 1 species